rnacentral:sRNA from 1 species
GUAGGACGUGUCGGCUGCU